rnacentral:tRNA from 1 species
UAUAUUCUAAUAGCUUAACACACAAAGCAUUGGUCU